AAAAAAAUUUAACAUAUGCAUUGCUUGUUGCAGAUGAUAUGGUGAUGUACUUAGAAAGUCCUAGAGGCAAUUAAAAAUAAGUUGAAUAACUUUACCAAGAAUAUAUACAAAUCAUCAGCAUUCCUCAAUAUAAUCAACAAAACCUAUGAAGAAUAAUUAAGAAGAGAAGUUUCAUUCAAAUACAGGAGUGGCAGGAAAUGAAAAGUCUGAAGUCAAAGGGAGUAGUUCUUUGCAUCAGAAAUUCUCCACAUUGAAGUUGGAGAUUGAACUGGCAGCAAAAGGGUUCUGCGCACCAUGGUUUAAAUACACUGAGAAGUUGGAGAGUGUUCAAAGGACAACCAGGAUGGUGAAAGAUCUUGACUCCUUAUGAAUGAGACUCUUGUAGGAACUGAGGAUGAUAAAUCGAAUGAAAAGACUGAGAUGGAACAUGAUAAUUAUCGUCAAGUAUUUGGAAGGCUGUCAAGCAUAGGAGGAAUCAGACUUGAUCUGUUUGGCCUCAGAGGGCCCAGCAAGAGCAAUUGGUUGGCUGUUGUCCUUCAUUCUCAAAGAGGAUCAAAAUGCCUCCAACCGUGACUGAUCAGACCAACAAGGAACU